UGGCUUAGAUGGUAAAGAACCUGCCUGCAAUGCAGGAGACCUGGGUUAGAUCCCUG
rnacentral:tRNA from 1 species